rnacentral:misc_RNA from 1 species
CGCUUACUCUUCUUUGGUAGCUCUUUAAUACGAAUAAGGCCUCCAUUAGCUUUAGGAACAACUGCUCUCUUUCCUGUAGGGCUCUCGGUUUUUGCAGCAGUCUGAUCACCAAUCAUGGGUUUUUUGGAGUAUCUGGUUCUUUUGCCUCCAGUUCUUGGAGUUACUAAACCUCGAAGAGUUUCUCCAGUUGAUAUUUCAAUUGGCAUCUUCAUUAAUGGCAAUGUUGUAACUGAUAACGGGACAUCUACAGCAUCUUCUAUUGUUGACUUUUUGGAAGGACACGAAUGCA